CGAGCCGACCGGGCGGCCGCGGCGAGGAGAACCACGCGAUCCAUCGCGCAGGCUCACCGCCGAGGAAAGUCCGGACUCCACAGAAGCAGGGUGGUUGCUAACGGCAACCCGGGGCGACCCGCGGGACAGUGCCACAGAGAACAGACCGCCCCUCCGCUCGCGGAGAGGUAAGGGUGAAACGGUGCGGUAAGAGCGCACCAGCGACGCGGGUGACCGCGACGGCUCGGUAAACCCCACCCGGAGCAAGGCCGAAGUCCGCACCGCGCGCGGUGCGGAUGCGCGAGUGUACGAGGACUGCUCGUCCGAGCUCGCGGGUUGGCUGCUUGAGGCACCCGGCGACGGUGUGUCCAGAUGGAUGGUCGCCACCGGUCCUUCGGGGCCGGAACAGGAUCCGGCUUACACGUCGGCUCGUUCG
rnacentral:RNase_P_RNA from 1 species